rnacentral:rRNA from 1 species
AUGCUCCCCUCCUCCCGCGGCGGCGGCCGCAGACGCUUCGUCCUCCUCCUCUCGCUCACCGCCGUCCUCGCCUUCGCUUCUCCGCUCCGCGCGUUCGCCUCAGAGUCUGACCACAAGUACAAAGCUGGAGAUUCAGUUAAGCUCUGGGUGAAUAAAGUUGGACCUUACAAUAAUCCUCAAGAAACUUACAAUUAUCACAGCCUCCCAUUUUGUCAACCAUCUGAGAACCCUGGGCAUAAGUGGGGUGGUCUUGGAGAAGUCCUGGGUGGGAAUGAGUUGAUUGAUAGUCAGCUUGACAUAAAGUUCUUAAGAAAUGUGGAAAGGGGAUCCAUUUGCACACUGGAACUAGAUCCCAAGAAGACUCAACAAUUUGCUGAUGCCAUUGAAAGCUCGUACUGGUUUGAAUUUUUCAUAGAUGAUCUGCCUCUUUGGGGUUUUGUUGGAGAGACUGACAAAAACAGUGAAAACAAGCACUAUCUUUACACGCACAAAAACAUUCUUGUAAAGUACAACGAUAACAGGAUAAUUCAUGUUAAUCUCACCCAAGAGUCUCCUAAGCUCCUUGACGCUGGUAAGAAGUUGGACAUGACAUAUUCAGUGAAGUGGGUACCAACAGAUGUUUCAUUUGCACGCCGUUUUGAAGUUUACCUGGACUAUCCUUUCUUUGAACACCAGAUUCACUGGUUCUCCAUUUUCAAUUCUUUCAUGAUGGUUAUUUUUCUCACUGGUUUGGUUUCAAUGAUAUUGAUGCGAACACUGAGAAAUGAUUAUGCAAAAUAUGCUCGUGAUGAUGAUGAUCUAGAGUCACUGGAGAGAGAUGUUAAUGAGGAAUCUGGGUGGAAACUUGUCCAUGGUGAUGUAUUUCGUCCUCCUAGAAGCUUGACACUUCUUUCUGCUCUUGUUGGUAUCGGCACCCAGCUGGCAGCUCUUAUCCUACUUGUGAUUGUAUUGGCCAUCGUUGGCAUGUUAUAUGUUGGGCGAGGGGCUAUCAUCACAACCUUCAUCGUGUGCUAUGCUCUUACAUCUUUUAUUUCUGGAUAUGUUAGUGCUGGUCUGUACUCGAGGAAUGGCGGUAAAAACUGGAUAAAGGCUAUGAUCCUUACAGCAUCCCUCUUUCCAUUCUUGCACUUUGCAAUUGGCUUUGCACUGAAUACAAUUGCAAUCUUCUAUGGGUCAUUAGCGGCAAUACCAUUUGGUACAAUGGUUGUCAUGUUUGUCCUUUGGGCUUUCAUAUCUUUUCCACUGGUGCUUUUGGGAACGGUCGUUGGUAGAAACUGGAGUGGGGCUCCUAACAAUCCCUGCCGAGUAAAGACUAUUCCACGGCCUAUUCCCGAGAGGAAGUGGUACCUUACACCUUCUGUCAUCUCAUUGAUGGGUGGGCUGCUUCCCUUUGGCAGCAUCUUCAUCGAGAUGUACUUUGUGUUCACAUCAUUCUGGAACUACAAGGUGUAUUAUGUUUACGGCUUCAUGUUGCUGGUCUUUGUCAUUCUUCUAAUAGUUACAAUCUGUGUCACAAUUGUCGGUACUUAUUUCUUGCUGAAUGCUGAGAACUAUCAUUGGCAAUGGACCUCGUUUUUCUCCGCUGCAUCAACAGCGCUAUAUGUGUACCUGUACUCCAUCUACUACUAUCAUGUGAAGACAAAGAUGUCCGGCUUUUUCCAGACAAGUUUCUACUUUGGCUACACAUUGAUGUUCUGUCUUGGUCUGGGAAUACUUUGCGGUGCUAUUGGCUAUGUAGGGUCAACUCUUUUCGUGAGGAGAAUCUACAGAAACAUCAAAUGUGAUUAA